rnacentral:lncRNA from 1 species
GAAAGACAUCAUUCAAAUUGUUAAAGAAAGAUAACACAGACAAGGAUUAAAUCACUUGAGAAAGCAUCAACAAUACUGAUUGUUUUUAAUGGACAGAUGAGAAAGUAUGUUUCUGUUUUCUGAAAAAAAGACUUUUUCUCAGUACAAUAGUAAAAUGAAGUCUGUCAGUAGGAUUGAUUUAAGACUACAGGUUGGAAUGUAGUGAAGAUCAGCCCAUUUUGUCACCAGUGCUCAAGUGAAGCUACAGGAUUUUCUGGAAAAGAACAAAAAGCAGCCAUCAUACUACUCUUAUGCACCUGAGCAGCUGCAUUAGACUUAGCAAUUAUUAAGUCCUCAAGGCAAUUUAUCAAAUUAGCCUUGCAAUAAUACAUACCUUUUUCCAUAGGCUAUACCAUUAGCAUGCCAAAUUUUGACUGUAUCAAAUAGUAAAAACUUCUCCUUAAUAUAAGUCUUUCACCUCACAAAAGUGAAAUGAGUUUGAUAUAUUCUACAUUUUCAUCUUGUUUCAUAUGAAUUGAAAAAUACUAAAAUGCACAAAAAUGUUUCCCUGAUUAUCUUCUUAAUCUGAUUUCUUGCUAAAUGUGAUUAUUGCAGAUGCAGUCCCACUCAGCAGAUUUGUCAUGACAAAAUAGCCAUAGUUUAGCGUGGGAGAUGGAAAGUGGCUGAAUUUGAGGUCAUAUGUGAUGAGUCAGAUAUUUUAGCUGGAAAAAAUUCUUUCUAAACAACAAGGUCAGGUUAACUCUGCUAGAACCAGACAAACCAGCAGUUUUGGAAUGCUU